GGGGUUGUAGCUCACCUGGGAGAGCGCCCGCCUUGCAAGCGGGAGGUAGCCGGUUCGAGCCCGGCCGGCUCCACCA
rnacentral:tRNA from 1 species